CGUGCUCGGGGGCGUGGAUGUUGCCGUGCGCCAUGCGGCGGCGCAGCGACUCGGGGGCGAUGUCGACCAGUUCGAUCUGGUGGGCGCGGC
rnacentral:tRNA from 1 species